CAACCUCAACUCAUAUGGGACUACCCCCUGAAUUUAAGCAUAUUAAUUAGGGGAGGAAAAGAAACUAACAAGGAUUUUCUUAGUAGCGGCGAGCGAAAAGAAAUCAGUUCAGCACUAAGUCACUUUGUCUAUAUGGCAAAUGUGAGAUGCAGUGUAUGGAGCGUCAAUAUUCUAGUAUGAGAAAUUAACGAUUUAAGUCCUUCUUAAAUGAGGCCAUUUACCCAUAGAGGGUGCCAGGCCCGUAUAACGUUAAUGAUUACUAGAUGAUGUUUCCAAAGAGUCGUGUUGCUUGAUAGUGCAGCACUAAGUGGGUGGUAAACUCCAUCUAAAACUAAAUAUAACCAUGAGACCGAUAGUAAACAAGUACCGUGAGGGAAAGUUGAAAAGAACUCUGAAUAGAGAGUUAAACAGUACGUGAAACUGCUUAGAGGUUAAGCCCGAUGAACCUGAAUAUCCGUUAUGGAAAAUUCAUCAUUAGAAUUGUAAUAUUUAAACAAUAUUAUGAUAAUAGUGUGCAUUUUUUCCAUAUAAGGACAUUGUAAUCUAUUAGCAUACCAAAUUUAUCAUAAAAUAUAACUUAUAGUUUAUUCAAAUUAAUUUGCUUGCAUUUUAACACAGAAUAAAUGUUAUUAAUUUGAUAAAGUGCUGAUAGAUUUAUAUGAAUACAGUGCGUUAAUUUUUCGGAAUUAUAUAAUGGCAUAAUUAUCAUUGAUUUUUGUGUUUAUUAUAUGCACUUGUAGGAUUAACAAUGCGAAAGAUUCAGGAUACCUUCGGGACCCGUCUUGAAACACGGACCAAGGAGUCUAACAUAUGUGCAAGUUAUUGGGAUAUAAACCUAAUAGCGUAAUUAACUUGACUAAUAAUGGGAUUAGUUUUUUAACUAUUUAUAGCUAAUUAACACAAUCCCGGGGCGUUCUAUAUAGUUAUGUAUAAUGAUAUUUAUAUUAUUUAUGCCUCUAACUGGAACGUACCUUGAGCAUAUAUGCUGUGACCCGAAAGAUGGUGAACUAUACUUGAUCAGGUUGAAGUCAGGGGAAACCCUGAUGGAAGACCGAAACAGUUCUGACGUGCAAAUCGAUUGUCAGAAUUGAGUAUAGGGGCGAAAGACCAAUCGAACCAUCUAGUAGCUGGUUCCUUCCGAAGUUUCCCUCAGGAUAGCUGGUGCAUUUUAAUAUUAUAUAAAAUAAUCUUAUCUGGUAAAGCGAAUGAUUAGAGGCCUUAGGGUCGAAACGAUCUUAACCUAUUCUCAAACUUUAAAUGGGUAAGAACCUUAACUUUCUUGAUAUGAAGUUCAAGGUUAUGAUAUAAUGUGCCCAGUGGGCCACUUUUGGUAAGCAGAACUGGCGCUGUGGGAUGAACCAAACGUAAUGUUACGGUGCCCAAAUUAACAACUCAUGCAGAUACCAUGAAAGGCGUUGGUUGCUUAAAACAGCAGAACGGUGAUCAUGGAAGUCGAAAUCCGCUAAGGAGUGUGUAACAACUCACCUGCCGAAGCAACUAGCCCUUAAAAUGGAUGGCGCUUAAGUUGUAUACCUAUACAUUACCGCUAAAGUAGAUGAUUUAUAUUACUUGUAAUAUAAAUUUUGAAACUUUAGUGAGUAGGAAGGUACAAUGGUAUGCGUAGAAGUGUUUGGCGUAAGCCUGCAUGGAGCUGCCAUUGGUACAGAUCUUGGUGGUAGUAGCAAAUAAUCGAAUGAGACCUUGGAGGACUGAAGUGGAGAAGGGUUUCGUGUGAACAGUGGUUGAUCACGAGUUAGUCGGUCCUAAGUUCAAGGCGAAAGCCGAAAAUUUUCAAGUAAAAUACAAAUGCCAAACAAAUAUAUAUAUUAUAUAAAAUCUAGCUAAAUUAAUAUACUUGAAUAAUUUUGAACGAAAGGGAAUACGGUUCCAAUUCCGUAACCUGUUGAGUAUCCGUUUGUUAUUAAAUAUGGGCCUCGUGCUCAUCCUGGCAACAGGAACGACCAUAAAGAAGCCGUCGAGAGAUAUCGGAAGAGUUUUCUUUUCUGUUUUAUAGCCGUACUACCAUGGAAGUCUUUCGCAGAGAGAUAUGGUAGAUGGGCUAGAAGAGCAUGACAUAUACUGUUGUGUCGAUAUUUUCUCCUCGGACCUUGAAAAUUUAUGGUGGGGACACGCAAACUUCUCAACAGGCCGUACCAAUAUCCGCAGCUGGUCUCCAAGGUGAAGAGUCUCUAGUCGAUAGAAUAAUGUAGGUAAGGGAAGUCGGCAAAUUAGAUCCGUAACUUCGGGAUAAGGAUUGGCUCUGAAGAUUGAGAUAGUCGGGCUUGAUUGGGAAACAAUAACAUGGUUUAUGUGCUCGUUCUGGGUAAAUAGAGUUUCUAGCAUUUAUGUUAGUUACUUGUUCCCCGGAUAGUUUAGUUACGUAGCCAAUUGUGGAACUUUCUUGCUAAAAUUUUUAAGAAUACUAAUUGGGUUAAACCAAUUAGUUCUUAUUAAUUAUAACGAUUAUCAAUUAACAAUCAAUUCAGAACUGGCACGGACUUGGGGAAUCCGACUGUCUAAUUAAAACAAAGCAUUGUGAUGGCCCUAGCGGGUGUUGACACAAUGUGAUUUCUGCCCAGUGCUCUGAAUGUCAAAGUGAAGAAAUUCAAGUAAGCGCGGGUCAACGGCGGGAGUAACUAUGACUCUCUUAAGGUAGCCAAAUGCCUCGUCAUCUAAUUAGUGACGCGCAUGAAUGGAUUAACGAGAUUCCUACUGUCCCUAUCUACUAUCUAGCGAAACCACAGCCAAGGGAACGGGCUUGGAAUAAUUAGCGGGGAAAGAAGACCCUUUUGAGCUUGACUCUAAUCUGGCAGUGUAAGGAGACAUAAGAGGUGUAGAAUAAGUGGGAGAUAUUAGACCUCGGUUUGGUAUCGCCAAUGAAAUACCACUACUCUUAUUGUUUCCUUACUUACUUGAUUAAAUGGAACGUGUAUCAUUUCCUAGCCAUUAUACGGAUAUAUUUAUUAUAUCUUAUGGUAUUGGGUUUUGAUGCAAGCUUCUUGAUCAAAGUAUCACGAGUUUGUUAUAUAAUCGCAAACAAAUUCUUUAAUAAAACGGUGCAUUUAUGUAUUUUUGAUUUAAAAUUUGGUAUAACUCCAAUUACUCAGGUAUGAUCCAAUUCAAGGACAUUGCCAGGUAGGGAGUUUGACUGGGGCGGUACAUCUCUCAAAUAAUAACGGAGGUGUCCCAAGGCCAGCUCAGUGCGGACAGAAACCACACAUAGAGCAAAAGGGCAAAUGCUGACUUGAUCUCGGUGUUCAGUACACACAGGGACAGCAAAAGCUCGGCCUAUCGAUCCUUUUGGUUUAAAGAGUUUUUAACAAGAGGUGUCAGAAAAGUUACCAUAGGGAUAACUGGCUUGUGGCGGCCAAGCGUUCAUAGCGACGUCGCUUUUUGAUCCUUCGAUGUCGGCUCUUCCUAUCAUUGUGAAGCAAAAUUCACCAAGCGUUGGAUUGUUCACCCAUGCAAGGGAACGUGAGCUGGGUUUAGACCGUCGUGAGACAGGUUAGUUUUACCCUACUAAUGACAAAACGUUGUUGCGACAGCAUUCCUGCGUAGUACGAGAGGAACCGCAGGUACGGACCAAUGGCACAAUACUUGUUCGAGCGAACAGUGGUAUGACGCUACGUCCGUUGGAUUAUGCCUGAACGCCUCUAAGGUCGUAUCCGUGCUGGACUGCAAUGAUAAAUAAGGGGCAAUUUGCAUUGUAUGGCUUCUAAACCAUUUAAAGUUUAUAAUUUACUUUUUAAACGACAAUGGAUGUGAUGCCAAUGUAAUUUGUAACAUAGUAAAUUGGGAGGAUCUUUGAUCACCUGAUGCCGCGCUAGUUACAUAUAAAAGCAUUAUUUAAUACAAUGACAAAGCCUAGAAUCAAUUGUAAACGACUUUUGUAACAGGCAAGGUGUUGUAAGUGGUUGAGCAGCUGCCAUACUGCGAUCCACUGAAGCUUAUCCUUUGCUUGAUGAUUCGA